UCUCUUCCUCUCUUCUCUCUUCUAUCUUCUCUCUUUCCCCCUCUCUUCUCUCUCCGUGGAUUUUAGCGGUCUCAGUCAAUGCAUUAUUGGAGCAGAGAUUCCCUUCUUUAUGCAUGGGACUGUAUGAAUGCUCUUAGUUAUGAAUGGUUCUCUUACUUAGAGUAGGGGUUUUGUUACUUAUGAAUUGGUUCUGUAAAUAUAACUAGUUGGUUUAAUUACAUGAAUGCUCAUUAUCUGUUUUAAGUAACCAAAUGAAAAUACAGUUGGUUAUACCAAAACUA
rnacentral:lncRNA from 1 species